GCUCUGGUGGUGCAAUGGUUGAAGCACCCGGCUGCUAACCAAAAGGUGGGUGGUUCAAAUCCACCCAGCAGCU
rnacentral:tRNA from 1 species